UCGAUUUGGAGUUUGUUGCCUAGAGUGAUGGGCUCCGAAGCUAACGCGAUAAAUCGACCGCCUGGGGAGUACGGCCGCAAGGUUAAAACUCAAAUGAAUUGACGGGGGCCCGCACAAGCGGUGGAGCAUGUGGUUUAAUUCGAUGCAACGCGAAGAACCUUACCUGGUCUUGACAUCCACAGAAUCUUGCAGAGAUGCGAGAGUGCCUUCGGGAACUGUGAGACAGGUGCUGCAUGGCUGUCGUCAGCUCGUGUUGUGAAAUGUUGGGUUAAGUCCCGCAACGAGCGCAACCCUUAUCCUUUGUUGCCAGCGGUUCGGCCGGGAACUCAAAGGAGACUGCCAGUGAUAAACUGGAGGAAGGUGGGGAUGACGUCAAGUCAUCAUGGCCCUUACGAGUAGGGCUACACACGUGCUACAAUGGCGCAUACAAAGAGAAGCGACCUCGCGAGAGCAAGCGGACCUCAUAAAGUGCGUCGUAGUCCGGAUCGGAGUCUGCAACUCGACUCCGUGAAGUCGGAAUCGCUAGUAAUCGUAGAUCAGAAUGCUACGGUGAAUACGUUCCCGGGCCU
rnacentral:rRNA from 1 species